GAUGAAGAACGUAGCGAAAUGCGAUAAGUAAUGUGAAUUGCAGAAUUCAGUGAAUCAUCGAAUCUUUGAACGCACAUUGCGCCCAUUAGUAUUCUAGUGGGCAUGCCUGUUCGAGCGUCAUUUCAACCCUUAAGCCUAGCUUAGUAUUGGGAAUCGACUUUACUGUCGUUCCUCAAAUUCAACGGCGGAUUUAUAGCAAUCUCUGAACGUAGUAAUUUUUUUUCUCGUUUUUGAAAUACUAUAAACCUCAGCCGGUAAACCCCCAAUUUCUUAUGGUUGACCUCGGAUCAGGUAGGAAUACCCGCUGAACUUAAGCAUAUCAAUAAGCGGAGGA
rnacentral:misc_RNA from 1 species